GCUCGAUUAACUCAGCGGUAGAGUGUUACCAUGACAUGGUAGUGGUCACUAGUUCGAAUCUAGUAUCGAGCACCA
rnacentral:tRNA from 1 species